AGCUGUAGCCGUGAUUCAACCCCUAGCCUCGGAACUUCCAUAUGCCACACAGGUGUGGCCCUAAAAAAGCAAAAAAACAAAACAAAAAAAACAAAAAAAACAGCAAAAAAGUGGCAGAAAUUGCUUAGAUACUUCAGGUUUGUAAAUCAAAUGGCUUUUGCGUUAUUUCCCCCAUUAAAUUAUCUAGGUUGCCUGUUCAGCUGAGUAAAUUUAAUCACUCUAAAGAUGCAUAAAAAUUGGGGGGUGGGUAGACAUGACAGGUUUUGGAUCCUGGCUUUGCUGUUUAUGCAUAUGCGAUAUUUGGCAGGUUACUUGACCUUUAUGUGUUCUAUUAAAUGAGUAUAAGAACGAUAAUCUUAUGAGAAUUAGAAGUAAUAACCUGCAAAGGACCUUUUACCAGUGACUGCCACAUAGUAAACACUCAGUCAGCCUUAGUCCUCUUUGCAUCUUGUAUCUUUGAUGAUAUAUAUUUAGCAUAGAUUUUUAGAAGGCCUGAAUAUAGAUGGAAUUAUGCACAAACAAUUGACUGUCUACUCAGCAUUUUUCACAGUCAAUAUCUAACACUAGAAUGGAAAGAGUCAAGACUUGGAGCUUGGUUAAGUACAUGCCCUCAAAGCCCUAGGAAAGGGCUCUAUGAGGAAAUUAUAAGUUCCUCCCCUGUGCCUUUCAUAGUCUUUGUACUUUUCUACCUUGAAUUGCAGUUGUAUAUGUGCUUUAGUUAUCCCAUACUAAAAUAGAAGGUUCUUAAAGCCUGAAUCCAUGGCUUCAUCAUUUCUGCAUCCCUGAGUCCCCUCCGGUAGCAACCUUGAGUUGAAAGCAUGAAGACCAAUGACAAAUGGAGCAAACUGGACAACUCUCCUGCCCUCUAACUUUUAGGUUUUCCUGAAUGAACAGCAGAGGAGAAUAGCACGUGGUAUUUGGUGGAAGAGACAACUCUGGAAGAAAAAUUGUUCUCCUUAUUUUAGGGAAAUUAUUGGGGGUGGUUUUUGAAGUAGAAUAUGGGGAUAUUAAAACAAAACAGAACAUAAAACCUUUCAAGUGAUUUUUAAAGAGCCAGGUGAAAUGAAACUCUGGAGAGUCAUUACUGUAGGAACUCCGAGAGUAGCACUGAAGGCCUCCUAUCCCAGGGAAACUAUGUAGAGCCAUCCUUUUCUAACUCUGUAGUGCACUUCUGCCAUGGCUGGAGCUUCCGGGCCAGCACACACAAGCCAGCUCUCAACUUCCAGACCAAUGACAGGGAGGCAUGAUUCAGAUAAAUCCAGUAGAUGAUUGGCCAUUUGGGUCAGAAUCACCAGCCUCUUUCAGAGGUAAAGCUGUUAUGGAGUGUCCCUUUUUCUUUGGCAGGGUCUCAGCUGCCCAGCUAAGGUGGGUUAUGUCUACACUGAGAGUGGCAUAGCCCAUGCCAGGAGAAAUGAGCUCUGUCCUUGACUUACCCGAGGUUCUGGCACACAUGCAACAAACAAGGCUCCUGACUGCCUCUGGAUAAGCCAUUUCACUUCUCUGGACCUCAGUUUUCUCUUUAUGAGAAAUAUGGAGGUUGAACCAUAUUCCUUUUCAUCUGGAUCAUUGUUGAUGGUAUCAGAACAAAAGCUGAUGCCUCUUCAUAAUAUCUCUGUGAAAAGAUAAAAAAGGUGUUAUAACUCCUUCACUCUGUAACAUCAACAUGCAUCUGUGUGUGCAAGAGUACACACACACACAUAUACAUAUACACACUUGUCCUGGCAUCAUUUGUGCAAAGAAUCUCCUUUUUUUUUUUUUUUUUUUUUUUUUUUUUUUGACUUUUUAGGGCCAAACCUGUGGCAUAUGAAAGCUCCCAGACUAGAGGUCAAAUCGGAGCUACAUUUGCUGGGCUAUGCCACAGCCACAGCCACUUGGGAUCCAAGCCCUGACUUUGAUCUACACCACAGCUCACAGCAACACCAGAUCCUUAAGCCACUGAGCCAGGCCAGGGAUUGAACCUGCAUCCUCAUGGAUAUUAGUUGUUACCACGUGUGUGUGUGUGUGUGUGUGUGUGUGUGUGUGUGUGUAAAACUGAGUCACUUUGCUGCAUACCUGAAACUAACACACCAUUGCAAAUCAACCAUACUUCAAUAAUAAACAAAUAAAUAUUCAAAUAGAAAUGUAAAACAGCUUACCGAAUCUUCCUCUGGCAGUCUGACCUAAUACUGCAUAUUCCCAGGUAGUGGUCCUGAGUAGGUACUGGAUCCCCCCAGUGCCUGGCACUAUAGGCAAUGACCAGCUGACUUUGAGUGGCCUUUAAGGGUUGAUUCUAUUGAUCAGGUUAUCAGGACUGGCUGCAAAUAUCACCUCAAUAAAAAUCUCCGCAGAGCCCAGAGAUUGUGAAGCCUUAUGAAUGCCUACUUAAUAAAGCAAUUUUUGGGAGUCAACCAUCCAGUUAAUAAGAACAUUCAGCUGUGUCGUCAACAGCAUUUGUUAAUUUCUUUUCUCCUUGGGUUGAUAAAGAUCUGGUGGGACCUUACCCAUCUCUAGAAUUCAGAUCCAACUUGUUUUUUGUUUUGUUUUGUUUUUUUCUCCCCUAGAGAGCUAUGUUUUUACUAGCUAGAAAAACUGAUGAGAUCAAAGGUUAUUCUUAUUGGUAAUUUAUUGAGGAGAGAGAGCUGAUUAAAAAGCAAAGAGAGAGGGGUUUAGCUCACACACAUACACACAGACAUAAAUGCCACCUCCACCCUCCUGCUUUGCAGCCCCUACCGUGGGGGCCUCUGGACACAUUUGCAUUGAGCAGGACAAAUGGCCUAUUUUCACUCAGCUGGACUCAGCUGCCUCCCACGUGCCGCUGCCUGGCUGCCUGCUCAUUGUUCUUCAGGCUUCCAGCAGCAGGAGGCAGGGGACAUGUGGAACCACUCUCACCCUCUGGCCCCAAAUCCUGGCCCUUUUUCAUCACACCACACACCCUUUCCAAGAACCUGAAUGGGAAUCCCCCGACCUCCCUUCUGAUCACUCAUUAAUCUACCCCUUCAGCCUUUUGGCUGGUCUCGCCCAGCCCCUCUCCAUCUACACCCCCACCUCCGGGAGGAAAACUUUCUAAGUGGAAUCACUUCUUGUGAGCAGUAAGGACAAUUCAAGAAGGCAGACCACCGUCUAGUGGCAUCUGAGUGUUGAAAACUUAAAGCUCCAUGCCUCGACCUUGUGAAUGUCCUGAAAUUUGGGAGGAGUGGACAUAUACCCAUUGGGAGACUACCUUGAGCCAGCCCCUCAGACUUGUCUUUAUGCCCUUACGGGGUUCCCUGGUGGCUCGGUGGGUUAAGGACCAGCGUUAUCACUCCCGGGACGNUGCUGAGUUGGCUUUCACCUUUAAGAAGUUGCCUUUCUAGUUGGGAAGAUAAAACAUGACCACAUGAAGAGGAAGUAAAUUAUGAAUUGCAACGGAACACAACAGCAUCAGAGGAGGAAAGGUGAAUUUCAAAGCUAGAAGACUCAGGAAAAUCUUGAAUGAGGAAGUGGGAUUUGAUUUGAGACUUAAAGGAUUGGCGAGAUUUGCACAAAUAGGGUGGGGAGAGAGAGCAGUGGUUUGAAUAACGAGGAGGCAGGAAUGUGAGAAAGAACAGCAUGUAAAUACAGGACAGCAACUAUAGCGUCACUGGGCAGAGGGUUGGCUCAGGUGCUGAGCCAGUGCCGAACGAACCUGGGAAGAUAAGAGAGGUUGGGAGUGGAAAAAAGGGUUCAAGAGACCUUUAUUUCUCCCCUUCUCUGACUGCCGUUGGACAAAGAGUCAUUUGCAGCAUCGCUAUUUCUGAGAUAGGAACACUUCCCUUUAGUCUCUCAGGAUGAUGUGAUGGGGGUGACGAAGACGCCGUCUGUAAAGCACUUAAGAAAUAAGCAGCCUGUUCCAAAUAAGAAAGCAAGCCCCUUAUUGUUUUAAACCGAGCCUUCUCUGUUUAAUGAAGCAGCUUCUCACCUAAGCUGCUCCCUGGGUGUUUACCAGGCAGUUUAGGAAGCAGCGGGAAUCUCUGCCAGGCCCCAGGCUACCAUUUAGCACACUGGAGCAGCAACUUCUGGAAUGGUCCCCCAGCGGCCUGACGGGGUCCUGUUCUCUGUGAGGUGUCCAUUUGACUCCCAGGGAAAGGGCUGGCUCAACAGUUAUAAUCAAGCAUGCACAGCGCGUGAGAUGCUGAACAGAGUACAUGCUUAUCGUGGCCCUUUUAUGUUUCAGGGAACAGAGCGCAAGCCUGGGGAGGGGGCAUGUUUCUGGCAAUUCGGAGAGCUCGGAGCUGGGGUUGUCUGGCACAGGGAGACCUCAGGAUGCAGAAGUCAAUGUACCAAAUUCUUACUGCUUCAGCCGCCAGAUGUGGAUUUCAUUUUUGACUCUUCCAUGUGCCGCAUUGCCAGUGUGAAACCCUCGAGAAAAGGAGGUGCAAGGUUAUUUUUGAGGGGACCACCUCCACGCCUGUUCUCUGCCCUGCUCUAUGUUGCGUGUGAGGCCAUAGACGCACCUGAGCACUGAAACCAGAGCAAAGAACUCAUACACGUUUGCCUUUGUCUUUUAAAUGGAAAAACAUCUUCAAAUGUUUUAUAAGGACAUGUCCUUAAUAGUACCAUCCUAGCUUAUUCUCCAAACCAUCACACUUUUUAAAAAAAGUUUUAAUGGGAAUAAAAGCUGAGUUUUUAGUAGACCCAAGCAACCAUUUUCAUUCUCAUUUCCUGGACAUGGGUUCACUGCUUUGGCAGCUUUCCUCAAAGUCUACUGUCAGUGGACAUACACAGAGUAACCUCCUCCCUUUUUUCACCUAUAGGUCUGGGAAAUGCAAGUUUAUAGGCAUUCUCCAUAGAGAAGAGAAUUGAAGGUGUGAAUACUUUCUACAGAACUAAAGAGAACAUUUUUUUCUUUUUUUUUCUUUUUAGGGCUGCUCCUGUGGCAUAUGGAGGUUCCCAGGCUAGGGAUUGAAUCUGAGCUCCAGCUGCUGGCUUACACCACAGCCACAGCAACUCGGGAUCCUCGCUGCAUCUGUGACCUACACCACAGUUCACGGCAAUGCUGGAUCCUUCACCCAUUGAGCAAGGCCAGAGAUCGAACCUGCAUCCUCUUGGAUGCUAGUAGGAUUCUUAACCCCCUGAGUUGCAAUGGGAAUUCCUGCAGAGAACAUUUUAAAUAAAGGUAAUAGGCAACUGUAAGGUCUUUAAGCCUGUUUCUCCCAGCGGGGGUCCAGGAAGGGCAGGCAUUGGACACUGUUGGCCUCCCAGGUGGAAGCUGCCUCCCUCUACCUUGCCUCCUGGAUCCUGGGAGGCAACAGGACUCACUCCAAAGUGCCCCAACAGAGUCAGUAGGCUGAUGAUGAGAAGCUGCCCCUGACACAUGCAGAUCUUGGAACGUGUCAAUCUUGAAUCUGGUUAUUGGGACGAAGAUGAGGGGUGAAGGAUGGAAAUAAUUACAUGAUAGCAGCUUCAGGGUGAUAAGGUCCCCCGAAGUGCCUCUCUUCCCCUGUUUUUAGCCCAAGAGUACUAUAGGGUCCCAUAUUCUAGGACAGAGCAAUUGCGUAGAGAUCUUUAUUGGACUUCUCUCCUCCACCAUCCCUUUUCCCCAGCAACCCCCAGCACUAGGGAGAAAAAUAUUCAACCAGUAAAGCUCCAUGUUCAUUCCCCAGGCAGAGAGAAGACCUCACAGCUGACGCCACAGAUACUUUCAGAGAGAAGGACUAACACAAAUGCCAACUGAAGUUGAAGGUCAGGGUGCCUUUAUUGCUGACCUGAGAUUUCCUUCAUCCAGUCCUGAGAUUUCCCCCAGUGACGUUUUGCCACAUGGGGAAGAUUCUUCAAAAGCCACUAUGGUACCACCUGGCCAGAUGCUGGAGCUUCUGAAACCGACUCAGACUGAAGGGAUUCUGCUGUGAGUCAGCCUAUCUCAGUUCUUGAAGAGAAGCUUUGGGAGGUCAUUUCCAGUUUUUCAGAGUUCCCAAAUGGGCUUGUUCUGCUCUGGGGUAUUUUGAAAUCUCAUAAAUACUUCUUCUUUGGCAGUGCUUGUGAAACAAAUAGCAGUGGUAACCCAUCAUUGGGUCCUGGUUAAUACUGAAAGAGAGAGAAACAGAGACAGAGAGAUGAGGAGGAGGUAGGGGAGGAGGAAGAGGAGGAGAAGAAAAAGAAAGAUUGGAGUUCCCGUCGUGGUUAGGAAUCCGACCAGGAACCAUGAGGUUGCAGGUUAGAUCCCUGCCCUUGCUCAGUGGGUUAAGGAUCCACUGUUGCCGUGAGCUGUGGUGUAGGUCGCAGACGCAGCUCGGAUCCUGUGUUGCUGUGGCUGUGGUGUAGGCUGGUGGCUAUAGUUCCGAUUUGACCCCUAGCCUGGGAAGCUCCAUAUGCUGUGGGAUGUGGCCCUAGAAAAGGCAGAAAG
rnacentral:lncRNA from 1 species